UUCCGAAACUAAUGUUGCUCCUGCUUUUAUUUCUUUUAUCUGCAAGUUUUUUUCUUUUCAUUUUUUACAUUUUCUUGUUUUUUUUAUUUAAAUUUCUGACAAACAUGUUUUUUUUUAAUAUACAAUAUGUUAACGAGGGCAAGACGAAAUAUCUCCUGUCAUCAAACAAACAGUCGUCGCACUCGCAACUUGGCACUCACGUCACUGUUGACAGUCAUAACUUUGAAGUCGUAGAUAAUUUCGUCUAUCUUGGAACCAGCGUAAACACCACCAACAAUGUCAGCCUAGAAAUUCACCGCAGGAUAACUCUUGUCAACAGGUGCUACUUCGGACUGAGUAGGCAAUUGAGAAGCAAAGUCUUCUCUCGACAAACAAAAACCAAACUCCAUAAGUCACUCAUAAUUCGCGUCCUGCGAUAUGGUGCAGAGUCUUGGACGAUGACAACAACUGAUGAGUCGACGUUGCGAGUUUUCGAGAGAAAAAUUCUGCGAAAGAUUUAUGGUCCUUUGCGCGUUAGCCACGGCGAAUACCGCAUUCGAUGGAACGAUGAGCUGUACGAGAUAUACGACGACAUCGACAUAGUUCAGCGAAUUAAAAGACAGCGGCUACGCUGGCUAGGUCAUGUUGUCCGGAUGGACGAAAACACUCCAGCUCUGAAAAUAUUCGACGCAGUAACCGCCGGGGGAAGCAGAGGAAGAGGAAGACCUCCACUCCGUUGGAAGGACCAAGUGGAGAAGGACCUGGCUUCGCUUGGAAUAAUAUGUUUUUGUAAUUUCUGUUUUACAAUUGUGUAUAUUAAAGAUUUUACUGCUACAAUAAUUUUGUUCUGGUCAAUUAUAAGCCUACCAUCUAAUUGAGCUAUGACUCUUAUAUCAUAGUACUUACAGUAACGACCAAACAUUUGCAACUUGAGCGAAGUCCUCGAUUUUUUUACAGCAUUGAGGUUACAUAUUUUGCAAUGUUUAUCGCGAUCUUUUUUUAUUUUGCCAGUUAUAUUUGAAAACAAUUUAAAAUGUAUGGCAAUCCGCCACGACAAAACAAUUGCAACUCUGUUUUGUUCGUUUCUUUUCUCCUUUGUUCGUUUCUUUUCUCCUUUGUUCGUUUUUUUUCCUAACGGUAUGGAGUUUGAAUCAGAGAGCUGCAACAAGUAUGAUAAGCAACAACUUGAAACCUAAGCGCAGUAGGUAACAUACAACGGCGCUUAGGUCUCAAGUUAACUCUUACGGGUACCACCUGCCAAUAAGAAUGAUUAUUGAAACACAACUUUAUAAUAUUAAAACAGAGAAUAUUUUAUUAAAAAUAAAACUAAAAUAAUCGAUCCAUAUAUAAAAACUAAUGUGAAGGAUGAAUCUGAUGCUGUUUAAUAAUUUUGUUAAUAUCAGGUUCCAAUUUACUCAAGAACAGUCGCAAGUCGUCACGUUCGGUAACAAGCAAACGAUUUCUAUUUUUAUUAAGCAGUGUUGUCACAGCACUAAAUCCACGUUCACGCCAAUAUGACGAUGGGAAUGCUAUCAAGAAUCGUUGAACGAUUCACCACAAUCCAGGGUACAAUUGCGAGAUCGGUUUUUGUAGCCAAAAUUCUUGCUGAGGUGACAUUGCUGUGUUGACAUUUGACAACGGAUCCAACACCCAGUCUGGUAUUUCCAAGUUCAAAAUGUCCUGGUAUCGUUCGGUGAAGUCAAUGUGGAGGUUUUCCAAAUGUUGGCAGUAGGCAAACAAUUCGUCGUUACUGCAUGAUACUGAUAAAUUCGGAAAAUUGUGAAACUCACGUCUGCUCAGAUUCUUUUUGUGUAGAAGCAGUUUGGCUGCGAAAGCAGCAACGACGUUUUUUGUUUUAAUUAAAUUUAGUUUAUCGCCUUGCAGUUGGAGAUUCAUGUCGUUGAACAAUUUAUACAGGUCUGUCAUUUUCCAAGAACUCUAUAACAGAGUCAAACAGGUUGUAGAAUCGAGUCAGACAAUUGCCUCUUGAUAGCCAACCAACUUCAGUAUGAAACAACAAGCGGUUGAAAUUCUCGUCGUUAGUAACACAUCUGAUGACAUAAUCUAUCAUUCAAAGAGCUGUUGCGGUUUUUAUUGACUGCUUUGAUGACAUAUUGCAGUGAUUGAAAUAGUUUUUCACUUAAGUUUCUAGCAACUAAAUGUUGUCUAUGAAUAACGCAAUGUACACCAAUGACAUCUGGAAUUUUAUUUUUUAAGUACGUUAUGAAGCCUUUAUGGCACCCUGUCAUAGCCGGAGCGCCAUCCGUAGCAACUGAAAUAAUAUUUUUCAAAGGAAUUUCUUUCUCAUCGCAAAACUUUUCCAAUAUUUUGAAUAUGGUUUCGCCUUUUGUAUCGGUCUCUAAAUUUCUUACAAAUAAUAGUUCUUCACAUAUUUUCUCAUCUUUAAUAAACCUCACGCAAGACAACAACAAUGCUUCAUUAGUUGGUAAAGUGGACUCAUCCAGCUGAAUUAAAAAUUGACUUGACCUCAGGUGAUCGUACAAUGAUUCUUCAAUGUUUUCAGCCAUUUCAUCAAUUCGUCUUUGCACAGAAUUAUUACUCAAAGGAAUUUUUCGGAUAAUAUCUGCGGCCGGUUUAUGAAGCACGGUAGUUAUUACUUCAUUUAUUGCUGGCAAUAUUAACUCUUCUCCGAUGUUAUGUGGUUUGCCUUUUUGAGCAAUUAACAAAGAGAUAUUGUACGAAGCUCGAAGUCCGUCGUCAUCUUGCUUAGCAGCUUCUUCUCUAGGUCUUGAAAAUAUGCUACAUUCUUGUCUCUCUUAUCUGGAUGCAUUUUAUUCAAAUGAUCUUGCAGUCGUGAAGGCUUCAUUGCUUCAUUCGAAAAUGUUUUUAGACAUAGAAGACACAAAGGCGAGGAUGUGUUUGUGGGAUUUUCAAUGAAUCCGAAUUUAAUGUAUUCCGCACAGUAUUGCCGUCUCUUCUUUUUUACUUCCGACAUUGUUUUGCUUUGAGAAAUACGUUUAACUUCGCGAGUAGUGUAAAGGAGGCGUAAGUAAUGCUCAUCUAUUGCGCGCAAAACCACAAAUGAAUAUAAAAUAAAUAU